UCGCCUGUUUAUCAAAAACAUCGCCUCUUGCAAAACUCAAAAAUAAGAGGUCCCGCCUGCCCUGUGACUAUUUGUUUAACGGCCGCGGUAUUUUGACCGUGCGAAGGUAGCGCAAUCACUUGUCUUUUAAAUGGAGACCCGUAUGAAUGGCAUAACGAGGGCUUAACUGUCUCCUCUUUCAAGUUAAUGAAAUUGAUCUCCCCGUGCAGAASCGGGSAUAAAAACMUAMGACGAGAARACCCUAUGGAGCUUUAGACACUAAGACAGCCCACGUUAAGCACCCUGAAUAAAGGACUAAACCAAGUGGGCCCUGCCCUAAUGUCUUUGGUUGGGGCGACCGCGGGGAAUUAAAGAACCCCCACGUGGAGUGGGAAUACUUUUCCUACAACUAAGAGCUACAGCUCUCAUAAACAGAAUUUCUGACCAACAAGAUCCGGCAGUGCCGAUCAACGGACCGAGUUACCCUAGGGAUAACAGCGCAAUCCUCUUUUAGAGCCCAUAUCGACAAGGGGGUUUACGACCUCGAUGUUGGAUCAGGACAUCCUAAUGGUGCAGCCGCUAUUAAGGGUUCGUUUGUUCAACGAUUAAAGUCCUACGUGAUCUGAGUUCAGAC
rnacentral:rRNA from 1 species